UGCUACUAGGUACUGAUAACUCAGCUGGCAGAGCAUGAGACUAUUAAUCUCAGGGUUGUGGGUUCAAGCCCCAGGUUGGGCAA